rnacentral:rRNA from 1 species
GACGAACGCUGGCGGCGUGCUUAACACAUGCAAGUCGAACGGAAAGGCCCCUUUGGGGGUACUCGAGUGGCGAACGGGUGAGUAACACGUGAGUAACCUGCCCUUGACUUCGGGAUAACUUCAGGAAACAGGGGCUAAUACCGGAUAGGAAUCCUUGCUGCAUGGUGGGGGUUGGAAAGCUUCGGCGGUUUUGGAUGGACUCGCGGCUUAUCAGCUUGUUGGUGGGGUAGUGGCUUACCAAGGCUUUGACGGGUAGCCGGCCUGAGAGGGCGACCGGCCACAUUGGGACUGAGAUACGGCCCAGACUCCUACGGGAGGCAGCAGUGGGGAAUAUUGCACAAUGGGCGGAAGCCUGAUGCAGCAACGCCGCGUGCGGGAUGACGGCCUUCGGGUUGUAAACCGCUUUCAGCAGGGGCGAAGCUUGUGGUGACGGUACCUGCAGAAGAAGCACCGGCUAACUACGUG